AAAAGCUGCCACGUCAUCGUCGGAGACGGGAACGUCGGCACAUUAAGGGAGGUUCAGGUAAUUUCCGGCCUCCCAGCCGCCUCUAGCACGGAGAGAUUGGAAAUCUUAGACGAUAAGGAACACGUGAUCAGUUUCAGCGUCGUCGGCGGAGAUCACAGGCUGAACAAUUACAGAUCGGUGACGACGCUGCAUCCGGCGGAUGAUGAAAACGG
rnacentral:misc_RNA from 1 species